GACGGAGGUCCCAAGCGUUGUUCGGAAUUACUGGGCUUAAAGCGCGUGUAGGCGGGUCCGUGCGUACCUUGUGAAAGCCCCUGGCUCAACCAGGGAACUGCUCGGUAUACGACCGACCUCGAGGCAGGUAGAGGCGCCUGGAACCUUAGGUGGAGCGGUGAAAUGCGUAGAUAUCUAAGGGAACGCCGGUGGCGAAAGCGGGGCGCUGGGCCUGUCCUGACGCUAAGACGCGAAAGCGUAGGGAGCAAACGGG
rnacentral:rRNA from 1 species